rnacentral:rRNA from 1 species
UACGGAGGGAGCUAGCGUUAUUCGGAAUUACUGGGCGUAAAGCGCACGUAGGCGGCUUUGUAAGUAAGAGGUGAAAGCCUGGAGCUCAACUCCAGAAUUGCCUUUUAGACUGCAUCGCUUGAAUCAUGGAGAGGUGAGUGGAAUUCCGAGUGUAGAGGUGAAAUUCGUAGAUAUUCGGAAGAACACCAGUGGCGAAGGCGGCUCACUGGACCGUUGUUGACGCUGAGGUGCGAAAGCGUGGGUAG